GGGGAAUAUUGCACAAUGGGCGAAAGCCUGAUGCAGCGACGCCGCGUGAGGGAUGAAGGCCUUCGGGUUGUAAACCUCUUUCAGUAGGGAAGAAGCGAAAGUGACGGUACCUACAGAAGAAGCACCGGCUAACUACGUGCCAGCAGCCGCGGUAAUACGUAGGGUGCGAGCGUUGUCCGGAAUUAUUGGGCGUAAAGAGCUUGUAGGCGGUUUGUCGCGUCUGCUGUGAAAAUCCGGGGCUCAACCCCGGACUCGCAGUGGGUACGGGCAGACUAGAGUGUGGUAGGGGAGACUGGAAUUCCUGGUGUAGCGGUGAAAUGCGCAGAUAUCAGGAAGAACACCGAUGGCGAAGGCAGGUCUCUGGGUCACUACUGACGCUGAGAAGCGAAAGCGUGGGGAGCGAAC
rnacentral:rRNA from 1 species